GACGAACGCUGGCGGCGUGCUUAACACAUGCAAGUCGAACGGAAAGGCCCUGCUUUUGUGGGGUGCUCGAGUGGCGAACGGGUGAGUAACACGUGAGUAACCUGCCCUUGACUUUGGGAUAACUUCAGGAAACUGGGGCUAAUACCGGAUAGGAGCUCCUGCUGCAUGGUGGGGGUUGGAAAGUUUCGGCGGUUGGGGAUGGACUCGCGGCUUAUCAGCUUGUUGGUGGGGUAGUGGCUUACCAAGGCUUUGACGGGUAGCCGGCCUGAGGGGGUGACCGGCCACAUUGGGACUGAGAUACGGCCCAGACUCCUACGGGAGGCAGCAGUGGGGAAUAUUGCACAAUGGGCGGAAGCCUGAUGCAGCAACGCCGCGUGCGGGAUGACGGCCUUCGGGUUGUAAACCGCUUUCGCCUGUGACGAGGCGUGAGUGACGGUAAUGGGUAAAGAAGCACCGGCUAACUACGUG
rnacentral:rRNA from 1 species